rnacentral:rRNA from 1 species
UGGGAGUGGCGAACGGGUGAGUAACACGUGGGUAACCUACCCAUCAGCGGGGGAUAACACUUGGAAACAGGUGCUAAUACCGCAUAAUUCUUUUCUUCGCCUGGAGGAAAGAUGAAAGACGCUUUUGCGUCACUGAUGGAUGGACCCGCGCUGCAUUAGCUAGUUGGUGGGGUAACGGCUCACCAAGGCCACGAUGCAUAGCCGACCUGAGAGGGUGAUCGGCCACACUGGGACUGAGACACGGCCCAGACUCCUACGGGAGGCAGCAGUAGGGAAUCUUCGGCAAUGGACGGAAGUCUGACCGAGCAACGCCGCGUGAGUGAAGAAGGUUUUCGGAUCGUAAAACUCUGUUGUUAGAGAAGAACAAGGAUGAGAGUAGAAUGUUCAUCCCUUGACGGUAUCUAACCAGAAAGCCACGGCUAACUACGUGCCAGCAGCCGCGGUAAUACGUAGGUGGCAAGCGUUGUCCGGAUUUAUUGGGCGUAAAGCGAGCGCAGGCGGUUUCUUAAGUCUGAUGUGAAAGCCCCCGGCUUAACCGGGGAGGGUCAUUGGAAACUGGGAGACUUGAGUGCAGAAGAGGAGAGUGGAAUUCCAUGUGUAGCGGUGAAAUGCGUAGAUAUAUGGAGGAACACCAGUGGCGAAGGCGACUCUCUGGUCUGUAACUGACGCUGAGGC